UACGGAGGGUGCGAGCGUUGUUCGGAUUCACUGGGCGUAAAGGGUGCGUAGGCGGUCGGGUAAGUCUGAUGUGAAAUCUCACAGCUUAACUGUGAAACUGCAUUGGAUACUAUCCGGCUUGAGGAAUGGAGGGGAGACUGGAAUACUUGGUGUAGCAGUGAAAUGCGUAGAUAUCAAGUGGAACACCAGUGGCGAAGGCGAGUCUCUGGACAUUUCCUGACGCUGAGGCACGAAAGCCAGGGGAGCAAACGGG
rnacentral:rRNA from 1 species